UACAGAGGUCCCAAGCGUUGUUCGGAUUCAUUGGGCGUAAAGGGUGCGUAGGUGGCGCGUUAAGUCAGGUGUGAAAUUUCGGAGCUUAACUCCGAAACUGCAUUUGAUACUGGCGUGCUUGAGGACUGGAGAGGAGACUGGAAUUCAUGGUGUAGCAGUGAAAUGCGUAGAGAUCAUGAGGAAGACCAGUGGCGAAGGCGGGUCUCUGGACAGUUCCUGACACUGAGGCACGAAGGCCAGGGGAGCAAACGGG
rnacentral:rRNA from 1 species